rfam:Shewanella oneidensis MR-1, complete genome.
AUCAUUUGGUGGUGGCACUUCCCAACUUAGCGGGUAGUGUGAAGCUCUGUGCUCAUUUGAAAGUAACAGAAUCAACAGAAAAGCCCGCAGAAAUGCGGGCUUUUUUGU